CUUCAUAAAAGAAAAGGCGCCUUCAUACAACAUGCCUCGCUGCCCUCUUCCCCGACGGCCUUUUCCUCGCCGCUUGCACGCCCCCUGCUGUCUGCGGCACCGUCGUUUGCCCACGCCCCAGCGAAUCCACUCUCCGCGUCAUUCGCGAAUGCAUCCACCGAUUCUAUCAGGAAAUCCAAACCCUCGAUCGCCAUGGCCAGAUUUGGGAGAAGAGAGACUCGCAUUCGUAUAUUUCCCGGUCGAGGAGUGGCUCUCUCCGCGGCGGACGUCCAGACCGUGUACCCGAUCCUCUCCAAUGUUUUGAGCCUCGAUGAGUCCGCCCUCGCCCAGAUCGAGAACCGCCCGGAAUUCUGCUCCUGCCUUCUUGAGAUCGUCACGGCGAGGGAUUCGGGUCGCCGGGAUGAUGUUCGCCUCCUGGCCUCCGUGUAUUUCUAGAACAGUAUCGGUCCGCUCCUGGAGGCCUCGCCGUGAUAUCCUGACAGCUGUCCCACUCGAAGCAUGGAACUUUCCAUGGUUUGACUGCUGUGAGUUUUACUCAGUCUGCCUUUGUGUGUUUUUUCGGAUUUAUUUUGAUAAAAAUCCGUAGGAUUAAAAAUCCACGAGAAUUUAGAUCAAAUCUAUUAAUAAAAUUUCUGAAGGAUGCACAAAUUGGAUGAAUUCGAAUGGUGAGGUACAACUUUAGAGUGCUCUGAUGGCAUAUUAAUGAAUUAUUACAAUUGCAUCACUGACUUGUUCCAUUGCCCUGCUCGCUUAUAAACAUAAUUACAAAUAGGUGCAUUGGAGAUGGGACAUGAAUUGAGAUGGUUCAAAGAUUAUGACUGCGGAGGGCCUUUUCACUUGAUCUCCUCUCCAUAAAAUUUGGGAUUUGAUAAUAAGAAGAUUUUCUAAUGACUUACCUUAAUGAUUUUUAUUCUAGCAUCUCUGUUUUUUGAUGCAUCCUGAUAUAUUUAGACUGCCUAGUGACCCUUUUAUCUUUUUGUUAUUGUUUGCUCUAUAUUUCACAUUCAUUUUUAAGAACAUUGUUUGCAAUGGUUGCCCCUGUUCUUAUACAAGUCACUGCUAAAGCUUCCAUUUGUUAAUUUGUUAUUUCUUCGCCCUUUAAGUACAGCUACCAAAAGCCAAGAUUGCCAAUAAAAAUUGUGGCGAUUAUAUUGAUGACGUGCAAAGAAAGCAACUUAAAAGGAAAGGAGAAAAAAGGUAAGAUAUAAAAUAACCGAAAAUAUGACUCCUGCCAAUUUUCUUGUCAUAAUGGAUUGAAUAGAUUUUGGUCUAUGCCUGAUGUACCUAUUUAUAAUUGCAUAAGGUAGGUGUAGUUCAGUCGAACGCUUUUGAUAAUGGUGCAGAAGAAAAAAAACCAGAGAAAUCUUCUGCAGCAUCUGCAUCUUUCCUUUCUCAUAAGCAUACAUUUCUUUUUAUGAAUACUUCUAUGUAGUCCCUUAAGAUGUCCAUUGUAAUGUUGUUCAUGAUAGGGGGAAUGAUAAAGAAUAAAUAUUGAAUAUUGUACUUUUUACUCGUUGAACUUGGACCCAAGAAUUUAAAUACCGGAUGGACCCUUACAUAUUGAUUGGUGUUUUAUCGGUUUUACCAAGUACUAGAAUAGAAGCUUAUAGCUUGACACUGGCUUUAAAUUAUUGUUAUUAUUUUAUUCAAUGACAAUGGAGGGUAUUAUUUGGUAUACUGCUUGGUGUCUGGUAUUGUACCGGUCUCAUAGAUUACUGAAACCCGUACGAACAAGUACUUAAAUCCAUGGCAGGACUAUCAACUUAGUAUAAGAAAGGAACCAACAAAUUCAAUGAUACGUCACACUGACUGUGCUGCACCGAGCAAGGUAAUUCUCUUGAAAGGAACAUCUUGAAAGAAUGUUUAAUAUUCUUGUUAUUAUUUCUUUCAUACACCGAAUUCUUCAUUGGCCUUGCAUUCAUUUCUUUCUCAUAUAUAUUUCAGAUCCUACCUGAUUCUCCAAGUUUGACUUAUUAAAGCUUUGUAUGGUGAUUACGUUGAAUUUAUCAAAUUCUGAUAGAAUUAAGCUUUUCAACUCAUGCAAACCUAGAUUUUGCAUCUUAUUGCAUCAGUCAUAUUCUACACUGAACAUAAUCAAAGUGGUGCUUUAUACUAAUUAUUAUUACUGCUGUUUGCAGCACAUGAUCACCUAUUUUGUAGUUCUUCACUAUUAAUUUACUAUGCUUAAAUGAAUAUGGACAUAUUUAUUAAUUAUUAGUCAAUCAAUUUCAUUCGAUCUGUAGUGCUUUUUUGUGGAGGCCCCUCCACUGAUUGCUGGAGUUCUUCAGGUACUUGAGCGUUCUAUUGGAUUGACAAAGCUUGCAUGGGCAUUAUACUUGGCACAUUUUCUCAUACUUCUGAUAACUGGGCCCUGCUUUCUAGAAACUCAUCCUAACUGGGCCCUGAUCAUAAUCCUUCCGUGACACCAGUGUGUGCUUCUUCUGCCACCAUUCUUGACAGGGUGUUGGUGAUGAAUACCAACUAUUUUGCUCAAUUAGCAUCUGAACCAUCUCUUGCUAUGGCCCUUCAGCAGGCAGGACUUUCCAUCAGCCAGAAAGUAAUUCUUUGUUUGGCUCAUAUAUGGGUUGAUAAGGUAUUUUGUAAAGGGUGUAGCUUGUUGACUUUUCGUCCCACAUUGCUCUGGAUCCAUCCAACUUUACAGACCUUUCGAAAAUAACAAUCACUGGAAGUACUUCAAACUCGCAGCCGGAUGUCCAUCUUGAAUGAAUGAAUGUUCAACUCCAGUUCAUUUGGCUGAAGGGAAUGUGUCCCUGAGAAGCAGGUAACACUUUUAGAUACCCUGCUACAUGGUGAUUAUUCAUAUUUGCACAUUUCCGUCAGUGGCUGUGUGGAACUUGGAAUGGGAAUUCAAAGAAAUAUAACUCGUCAUGGAAAAUAAUCUUUCUUGCGUGGGUAAAUUACCAAUUGUUUUU